rnacentral:lncRNA from 1 species
GCUGAAUUAAAAUUUUAUUGAGAAAAAGAAAAACGAAAAUAACAAAGAAAACCCGUUGAAGGCACAACAGACGCAAACUAACGGGCUACGAAACUAAAACAGCGAGGACCCAGAGGGAAAAACAUCGCGAGAGGAAAAAAGAGUCAAGAAAUGUGCAGGAGCUCCAGAGCAGGAACACCAUGACAAUCAAAAGUCAAGAGCAUCAUCCUCCGUAUGAAUAUAAGAAUCCAUGAUGUCCCCCCAACGUUGAGAAGAGACCGUAUGAAUAUCAGAAUCCAUGAUGUCCCCCCAACGUUGAGGAAGACCUUUGGCCGUGCCUUCUUGGAUGUUACUCUGGAAAAUCGAAAUAUCCGAAGGUCUACUAAUGUUGUAGCCUGGAAUAGCAGGAUGUCGUAACCUGUGCUUUAAAGAGGUAUCAGAAACCCCCCCUUUCCCGACUUGCUUGGUAGCGCCCUUAGGACGCCCUCUGCCUCGCUUGCCCGUAGGAGCUUCAGCGAACCUGACCAAGAGGCACAAAUCACGAGUCGAAUCACAUGCAGAGGGACGAUUGAAGCACCAGACUCAGGGGUGCGAACGAUGCAAGGCUCAUCCUGAGAUGCUGAAGUCGUAAUAGCGGCUGUUGGUAUGCCACUACUAGAAUUAGGCACAACAUGUGUGGGAGACACUGCCCCAGACGGUUUCUCGAGUACCACUUGGGAAGCAUGGUUAGAGAUGCCCAAAAAAUCUGGGGCAUUCAUCGUAGCCGCAUCGAUCCCAUGACUUGAAUCCUC